UACGAAGGGUGCAAGCGUUACUCGGAAUUACUGGGCGUAAAGCGUGCGUAGGUGGUUUUUAAGUCCGUUGUGAAAGCCCUGGGCUCAACCUGGGAAUGGCAGUGGAUACUGGAAGGCUAGAGUGCGGUAGAGGGUAGUGGAAUUCCCGGUGUAGCAGUGAAAUGCGUAGAGAUCGGGAGGAACACCAGUGGCGAAGGCGGCUACCUGGACCAGCACUGACACUGAGGCACGAAAGCGUGGGGAGCAAACAGG
rnacentral:rRNA from 1 species